GACGAACGCUGGCGGCGUGCCUAAUACAUGCAAGUCGAGCGGACGGAUGGGAGCUUGCUCCCAGACCGUCAGCGGCGGCCGGGUGAGUAACACGUGGGCAACCUGCCUGUAAGACUGGGAUAACUCCGGGAAACCGGGGCUAAUACCGGAUAACUCUUUCCCUCACAUGAGGGAAAGCUGAAAGAUGGCAUCUCGCUAUCACUUACAGAUGGGCCCGCGGGGCUUUAGCUAGUUGGUGAGGUAACGGCUCAGCAAGGCGGCGAUGCGUAGACGACGUGAGGGAGUGGUAGCCGACCCUGGGAGUGAGACACGGCCAAGACUCCUACGGGAGGCAGCAGUAGGCAAUGUGACGCAGUGGACGGAAGUCUGACGGAGCAACGCCGCGUGAGUGACGACAGCUUCGGGAGCGGGAAACCGUGUUGUCAGGGAAGAACAAGUACCGGCGGAAAUGCCGGUAGAUUGACGGUACCUGGCCAGAAAGCAACGGCUAACUACGUG
rnacentral:rRNA from 1 species